rnacentral:rRNA from 1 species
CCCUUAGAUGUUCUGGGCCGCACACGCGCUACACUGAAGGAGGCAGCGUGUACUCCUGGAUCGAAAGAUUUGGGUAACCCGCGAAUCUCCUUCGUGCUAGGGAUUGAGGUUUGCAAUUAUCCUUCAUGAACGAGGAAUUCCCAGUAAGUGCAAGUCAUAAGCUUGCGCUGACUACGUCCCUGCCCUUUGUACACACCGCCCGUCGCUACUACCGAUUGAAUGAUUUAGUGAGGACUUCGGACUGGGACCGAUGCGGCUUUCGGGCUGCGUCGGUAUUCUGGAAAGAUGUCCAAACUGUCUCAUUUAGAGGAAGUAAAANUCGUANCA